UACGGAGGGUGCAAGCGUUGUCCGGAUUUAUUGGGUUUAAAGGGUGCGUAGGCGGUUAAUUAAGUCAGUGGUGAAAUCCUGGAGCUCAACUUCAGAACUGCCAUUGAUACUGGUUGACUUGAGUACAGACGAGGUUGGCGGAAUUGAUGGUGUAGCGGUGAAAUGCAUAGAUACCAUCAAGAACACCGAUUGCGAAGGCAGCUAACUAGGCUGUAACUGACGCUGAGGCACGAAAGUGUGGGGAUCAAACAGGAUUAGAUACCCUGGUAGUCCACACUGUAAACGAUGAUCACUCGAUGUUGGCGAUAGACAGCCAGCGUCCAAGCGAAAGCGUUAAGUGAUCCACCUGGGGAGUACGCUCGCAAGAGUGAA
rnacentral:rRNA from 1 species